CGACCUCAGAUCAGGUAGGAGUACCCGCUGAACUUAAGCAUAUCAA
rnacentral:rRNA from 1 species